rnacentral:rRNA from 1 species
GACGAACGCUGGCGGCGUGUCUAAUACAUGCAAGUAGAACGCUGAAGGAGGAGCUUGCUUCUCUGGAUGAGUUGCGAACGGGUGAGUAACGCGUAGGUAACCUGCCUGGUAGCGGGGGAUAACUAUUGGAAACGAUAGCUAAUACCGCAUAAGAGUAGAUGUUGCAUGACAUUUGCUUAAAAGGUGCAAUUGCAUCACUACCAGAUGGACCUGCGUUGUAUUAGCUAGUUGGUGAGGUAACGGCUCACCAAGGCGAUGAUACAUAGCCGACCUGAGAGGGUGAUCGGCCACACUGGGACUGAGACACGGCCCAGACUCCUACGGGAGGCAGCAGUAGGGAAUCUUCGGCAAUGGACGGAAGUCUGACCGAGCAACGCCGCGUGAGUGAAGAAGGUUUUCGGAUCGUAAAGCUCUGUUGUAAGAGAAGAACGAGUGUGAGAGUGGAAAGUUCACACUGUGACGGUAUCUUACCAGAAAGGGACGGCUAACUACGUG